UACGUAGGUGACCAGCGUUGUCCGGAUUUACUGGGCGUAAAGAGCGCGCAGGCGGUCGUUCAAGUCGAGUGUGAAAGCCCCCGGCUCAACUGGGGAGGGUCAUUCGAUACUGAUCGACUCGAAGGCAGGAGAGGGAAGCGGAAUUCCCGGUGUAGUGGUGAAAUGCGUAGAUAUCGGAAGGAACACCAGUGGCGAAAGCGGCUUCCUGGUCCAGCACCGACGUUCAGGCACGAAAGCGUGGGGAGCAAACAGG
rnacentral:rRNA from 1 species